UACGAAGGGAGCUAGCGUUGUUCGGAAUCACUGGGCGUAAAGCGCACGUAGGCGGACGUGUCAGUCAGGGGUGAAAUCCCGGAGCUCAACUUCGGAACUGCCUUUGAUACUGGCAAUCUCGAGUCCGGGAGAGGUGAGUGGAACUGCGAGUGUAGAGGUGAAAUUCGUAGAUAUUCGCAAGAACACCAGUGGCGAAGGCGGCUCACUGGCCCGGUACUGACGCUGAGGUGCGAAAGCGUGGGGAGCAAACAGG
rnacentral:rRNA from 1 species